rnacentral:misc_RNA from 1 species
GAUGAAGAACGUAGCAAAAUGCGAUAAGUAGUGUGAAUUGCAGAAUUCAGUGAAUCAUCGAAUCUUUGAACGCACAUUGCGCCCUUUGGUAUUCCAAAGGGCAUGCCUGUUCGAGCGUCAUUUGUACCCUCAAGCUUUGCUUGGUGUUGGGCGUCUUGUCUCUAGCUUUGCUGGAGACUCGCCUUAAAGUAAUUGGCAGCCGGCCUACUGGUUUCGGAGCGCAGCACAAGUCGCACUCUCUAUCAGCAAAGGUCUAGCAUCCAUUAAGCCUUUUUUUCAACUUUUGACCUCGGUUCAGGUAGGGAUACCCGCUGAACUUAAGCAUAUCAAUAAGCGGAGGA